rnacentral:rRNA from 1 species
CCUACGGGUGGCAGCAGUGAGGAAUAUUGGUCAAUGGGCGCGAGCCUGAACCAGCCAAGUAGCGUGAAGGAUGACUGCCCUACGGAUUGUAAACUUCUUUUAUAAAGGAAUAAAGUUAGGCACGUGUGCCUUUUUGUGUGUACUUUAUGAAUAAGCAUCGGCUAACUCCGUGCCAGCAGCCGCGGUAAUACGGAGGAUCCGAGCGUUAUCCGGAUUUAUUGGGUUUAAAGGGAGCGUAGAUGGGUUGUUAAGUCAGUUGUGAAAGUUUGCGGCUCAACCGUAAAAUUGCAAUUGAUACUGGCAGACUUGAGUACAGUAGAGGUAGGCGGAAUUCGUGGUGUAGCGGUGAAAUGCUUAGAUAUCACGAAGAACUCCGAUUGCGAAGGCAGCAUACUAAACUGACACUGACAUUGAUGCUCGAAAGUGUGGGUAUCAAACAGGAUUAGAUACCCUAGUAGUC